rnacentral:rRNA from 1 species
AGUGAACGCUGGCGGUAGGCCUAACACAUGCAAGUCGAACGGCAGCACAGUAAGAGCUUGCUCUUACGGGUGGCGAGUGGCGGACGGGUGAGGAAUACAUCGGAAUCUACUUUUUCGUGGGGGAUAACGUAGGGAAACUUACGCUAAUACCGCAUACGACCUACGGGUGAAAGCAGGGGAUCUUCGGACCUUGCGCGAUUGAAUGAGCCGAUGUCGGAUUAGCUAGUUGGCGGGGUAAAGGCCCACCAAGGCGACGAUCCGUAGCUGGUCUGAGAGGAUGAUCCGCCACAAUUGAACUGGGACACGGGCCAGACUCCCACGGGAGGCAGCAGUGGGGAAUAUUGGACAAUGGGCGCAAGCCUGAUCCAGCCAUACCGCGUGGGUGAAGAAGGCCUUCGGGUUGGAAAGCCCUUUUGUUGGGAAAGAAAAGCAGCAGGUUAAUACCCCGCUGUUCUGACGGUACCCAAAGAAUAAGCACCGGCUAACUUCG